rnacentral:RNase_P_RNA from 1 species
AGCGGAUUUCACGGAAAGCGCCACAGAAAAUACACCGCCUCGGCCCACACCCGCAAGGGCAAAGCCGCGGUAAGGGUGAAAAGGUGCGGUAAGAGCGCACCGCGGCGGCAGCAAUGCCGCUGGCAGGGCAAGCCCCACGCGGAGCAAGACCAAAUAGGGGAGAAGGAGCGGCCCGUUCUGUCCGACUCCCGGGUAGGUCGCUAGAGCCGGUCAGUAAUGGCUGGCCCAGAGGAAUGGCUGCCGCCGUCCGGCAACGGACGGUACAGAAACCGGCUUACAGUUCGGCGAACCCU